rnacentral:rRNA from 1 species
CGCAUCUGUGCAUGCAGCAUAUCAAUAAGCGGAGGAAAAGAAACUAACAAGGAUUCCCUUAGUAACGGCGAGUGAAGCGGGAAGAGCUCAAAUUUGAAAUCUUCAAGGUUUUACCUUGACGAAUUGUAGUUUAAAGAAGCGUUUUCUGUUGAAGUUUUGGUAAAAGUCCUUUGGAAUAGGACAUCAUAGAGGGUGAGAAUCCCGUAUUUGACCAUUAUUUUCAGCUGUGUGAUACACUUUCAAAGAGUCGGAUUGUUUGGGAAUGCAGUCCAAAAUGGGUGGUAAAUUUCAUCUAAAGCUAAAUAUUGGCGAGAGACCGAUAGCGAACAAGUACCGUGAGGGAAAGAUGAAAAGAACUUUGAAAAGAGAGUUAAACAGUACGUGAAAUUGUCAAAAGGGAAGCGUUUGACACCAGUGUUGUUUUCUCGAAAAUCAAUUAAAAAGAGUUAGAUUUUGUUGUGUAUUGACCUUAACAGCUUGCAUUUCAAUUUUCUUGCUUUUUUUAAUGCACUUUUCGUUUAACAAGUCAACAUCAGUUUCUUUUGUUGUAAAAAGGUCAUUGGAAGGUGGCUUUCUUUUCGGAGAAAGUGUUUAUAGCCUUUGACUCCUGCAAUCGGAGAGACUGAGGUCUGCAGCGUAGAUCCUUCGGGGUUAGAUACAUUUGUGCUAAGUUAUAGCUUUUUAUAGACAACUUGUUGACUAUGAUUAGUCUUGUAGCUUACUCGCUUAUGCUAUUUUACCUACGCUUAGGAUGUUGACACACGCGCGUGCUCG